GUCUAUUUUCCACAGAAAUGAUAAAAACGGUAGGAACUAAUUUGAAGUAACUCACAUCACCCGCGCGACUAAAAUAGCAAGUACCGUGAUUAAGUGGGCUUAAUUUAAAAAUACUAAAGGUUUAGACAUCAAUAUAUAAAAAACCUUAGAACUUGGACACUGUUAGAAGUCAGACAAAACCCGACCCACUUUACAUCCCCAUCGGAUCAUUAGAUCAGGUUGACAAAACCCGUUAGCCCAAUAGGCACGUACUAUGUAUAUGAGAGAGAGAGAGAGGGAGGGGGAGAGAGAGAGAGGUCUUUACCAGCAAUCUUCUAGGAUUAAAGGAUUGAAUUAAAUUUGUAUAUUUUGGGUCAAUUAGAAGAUACAUUGAUCUUUUGUGCUACUAAUGGGGUGCAUUAUUUGUUCAGUGAUACGAAAAAGCGAUACUUUAAAGCUGCACACAAAGUGUCUGAUGAAAUGCCGCAACGAAACAAAGAUCUUCCCCAAGUCCUCUACUGACUCAAAAAUGAAGCUGAAGCAUUAAAUUUUUUUUAGAUAUUAUUCAGCCUUAACUGUUGCGAAAUUUCUUUGAUAGGUGCUGAAUUUUCUGUGUUAGAUACCCGCUAUACAUAGGGAGAUUAGCAUAACAUGUAUUCUGUAUUGUUUAGUUAUUUUACAUCGCGCAGUCUUUUUAAGCCUAUUGUUUCUAUCAUAUUGCAGACGAAUCUGUUUGGAGUCCUGACAUGCAAUGAACGGUAAAAGUUGAAGUCAGCUUUGUAAAGUCUUCAAUUGCUUGGAAUGGAACAACUUUUUGGCUUGAAAGUUUUUAUGGAAAGAUGAGCACUAACAAGUCUAGAGCCACAGAAUUGAAUGCUGAAGAUUAAGCUUCUUGAGCGUAAUAUUUAAGGUGAAGAAGAAAACUUGACUUGGUCCUACACAAAGCUCCUACGCUUCAUCUCUUGCUCUCCUUCCUCAUCUUCUCGGCUCUUUCAACAACAGUUUACUCAUCUAAGCAUCUGAUUCAAUCUCAAGAGGGCAGUUUCUCUCUGGCAACACUAUCAUAAUCUCCAAAGGUGCAAAAUUUGAGCUUGGUUUCUUCAAGCCAGGUUCCUCUAAAAACUACUACAUAAGCAUCUGGUACAAAAACAUUUGGAGGUGUGGAAUUUCAACAAGGAAAAGUUUGCCCAUAACGGAUGGCCAAAUAACCUGUAUGAGCUCAUAAAUUCAAGAUGGAGGUUCAUUGCAGACACAAAGCAGAGACUAUUUGGCAAGCAUUAUAUCCUAUAGUUUGUUGGUGCAUAUGGCAUGCACGUAAUAGCAAAACCUUCAAUAAUGCUUCUCCAUCCAUUGACAACAUUAUCAACUCUGCAGCUCACCAUAUAAUUGAAUGGACAGGGUCAGCCUCAGGGAAAUGUGCACAGAAACUCAGGCUAGCUCUGGAAACACACUCUCCACCCACAAUGCAGACCGGACGCAGCCGUCACUUAGGGCAACUCCCAAACCCUGCUCAAGAGAUGGAAGAGGAGAUCAAUAGAAGGCAAGGGAUUGAAAAAGAAGAUGCUACAAGCCAAGCAUAACAGCAGAAGCUUCUCUGAAUAUUGCUGCUUUGUAAUUAGAAUCUCUAACUGCAUAGGAUUGCAUCUGACAGUGUUUUUUCUUUCUUUUUUCUUCCCGUCUGUUUUUUGUUUUGUUUAUGUCAUGCUACAUAUUUUGUUGCCAAGAGCAAUUUAGUGUAGAAACUUUCCUUUCUCCUAAUGCUAGUUAUAGGGCUGGCUUUGGACCAUAACUCUAUCAAUGUUGCGGUGAAUGACAGCUAGGGUCCUCUCGUCAUCCUCGUCGAUAUGGUUAUGGAGAAGGUCCUACACAAUAUAUUUAGAGAAAGGGCACGUUUCUAUACAUACUUUUGUAGGACACCAACUCAUGUCCAUUUUUUCUCACU